GCACGCCUGUCGGGACCCGAAAGAUGGUGAACUAUGCCUGAGCGGGGCGAAGCCAGAGGAAACUCUGGUGGAGGCUCGAAGCGAUACUGACGUGCAAAUCGUUCGUCCACCUUGGGUAUAGGGGCGAAAGACUAAUCGAACCAUCUAGUAGCUGGUUCCCUCCGAAGUUUCCCUCAGGAUAGCUGGAGCCCAUUACGAGUUCUAUCAGGUAAAGCCAAUGAUUAGAGGCAUUGGGGACGC
rnacentral:ncRNA from 1 species